rnacentral:rRNA from 1 species
AUUGAACGCUGGCGGCAGGCCUAACACAUGCAAGUCGAGCGAGCGGCGGACGGGUGAGUAAUGUAUGGGGACUGCCCGAUAGAGGGGGAUAACUACUGGAAACGGUAGCUAAUACCGCAUACUAUCGGAUAACCCAUAUGGGAUUAGCUAGUAGGUGAGGUAAUGGCUCACCUAGGCGACGAUCCCUAGCUGGUCUGAGAGGAUGAUCAGCCACACUGGGAGUGGGAAACUGCCCAGACGCCUACGGGGGCAGCAGUGGGGAAUAUUGCCCAAUGGGCGCAAGCCUGAUGCAUCCAUGCCGCGUGUAUGAAGAAGGCGCUAGGGUUGUAAAGUACUUUCAGGCGGGAGGCGUUACCGACAGAAGAAGCACCGGCUAACUCCGUGCCAGCAGCCGCGGUAAUAC